UACGUAGGGGCCUAGCGUUGUCCGGAGUUACUGGGCGUAAAGAGUGCGUAGGCGGUUUUCUAAGUUUGGUGUGAAAUCCCCGGGCUCAACCUGGGAACUGCAUCCGAAACUGCCUUGCUCGAGUAUGGGAGAGGGAAGUGGAAUUUCCGGUGUAGCGGUGAAAUGCGUAGAUAUCGGAAGGAACAUCAGUGGCGAAGGCGACUUCCUGGACCAAUACUGACGCUCAGGUGCGAAAGCGUGGGGAGCAAACAGG
rnacentral:rRNA from 1 species